ACGGGUGAGUAACACGUGAGCAACCUGCCCCUGACUCUGGGAUAAGCCCGGGAAACUGGGUCUAAUACCGGAUAUGACCACUCCAGGCAUCUGGUGGUGGUGGAAAGUUUUUCGGUUGGGGAUGGGCUCGCGGCCUAUCAGCUUGUUGGUGGGGUGAUGGCCUACCAAGGCGACGACGGGUAACCGGCCUGAGAGGGCGACCGGUCACACUGGGACUGAGACACGGCCCAGACUCCUACGGGAGGCAGCAGUGGGGAAUAUUGCGCAAUGGGCGGAAGCCUGACGCAGCGACGCCGCGUGGGGGAUGACGGCCUUCGGGUUGUAAACCCCUUUCAGCAGGGACGAAGCUAACGUGACGGUACCUGCAGAAGAAGCGCCGGCUAACUACGUGCCAGCAGCCGCGGUAAUACGUAGGGCGCAAGCGUUGUCCGGAAUUAUUGGGCGUAAAGAGCUCGUAGGCGGUUUGUCGCGUCUGUCGUGAAAGCCCACGGCUUAACCGUGGGUCUGCGGUGGAUACGGGCAGACUAGAGGCAGGUAGGGGAGAAUGGAAUUCCCGGUGUAGCGGUGAAAUGCGCAGA
rnacentral:rRNA from 1 species